rnacentral:rRNA from 1 species
UCAAUCUCGUGCGGCUAUAUAUACCGCCGGUCCCUCUAAGAAGAUUUUCAUUGUACGCCGGUAGUGAAGACCGCGAAACGCGCGCGACGCACCGCNNNGCGACGCUUUUACACGCCACAGGAGCCGACACGCGCCCGCGGGCCCUCGUGAUACCGGUUGCACGUCUAUUUAAUAGGCUAGAGUUACGUUCGUUAC